CCCUCGCUACACAACUCUCUCCUGAGACCUGCUCUGACAACAGCUCUCUCGCACUCUUCCUGUCUGGGAUUCUUUCAGGAGCUUCAAAACAGUCGCCAGCCUCAUUUUCUUGUAAACUGAAUGACAGCGGUCAAGAGACCUGUGCAAUGUGCGGUGCAUCCAAUCAUCAGAGGAAUAAGGAGCUGUUCAUGGACUCUGUUUACAAACCGAUGCUCAGGCAGGAAGCCAAGCUUUGUUCCUAAGAGAAGGGAAUACCCUCACAGAGACUACACAGUUAAUUGUUUUUGGAAUAAGCUUCUCCAGUUACAGUACUGGAGUUUUAAAAAAAACGAUCUUCACCAUCUGUGUCCAUCUGUUCCUGAUGAAAUACUGUAUCAAACAGUCGCUCGUGAGGGAGGAGAGCAGAUAUCAGAUAUGAUGGGAUCUGAACCAGCUAACCUUGCUACAACAUCCCGCGGCUUUAAAAAAACAACUAAAAUGCCUCUGUGACCCAAUGAUGGAGCCCUGAAACUCCACUCAGCUGCUUUCCAAGUAUCCAGCUCAGGGUACUUCAGAGAAAGCUCUGUGAUCUUCUAGCCACCCAGGUUACAACUGGAUUAUAACCAAACAGACCAAGGAAAGAUGAAACAGCAUGUGUUUGCUUCAGCUGAGCACUAGAGGGCCCCCAAAGACAAAAACUGUUACUGUUCACUCAGCUUGGCUUCUCAAAUUUAGAGAAAUGACCUGACCUGCUUUCAAGACAGCUUGUCAUGUGUGCCAGUUUUAUAGGUUUCUAAUUGUAGCACGGCUACCUCUGUUGAUUAAGGAGAAGGAGAGCCGAGCUGCUAUCACAAUGAAAUAUCAGUCCUAUUAAUACCUUGGAGUGUAUAUCGACCGAGUAACCUGCAGACCCACAGUUUAGAACACCGGUGCAGCAUUUCUAACACAGCCUUUGAAACUGUUGUCAAAAUGCAUGCAAGAAAAGUAAAAUAUACAAAUUAGCUUGAAAAACUGUAAACAGAUGUACUUAGAAUCCAAAAGGAUUCAUCAACAUUAAACGUAAUAAAAAAAGAAUGUAACAAGAAACUUUGGGGGAGGGGGCAAACUUAUUGUGCUAAUUGAAUGUUUUUUUGUGAAAUUGUAAAACAAAUCCUCUCUUAAUAAAUACUGAACAGAGUGUAUUUCAAAUACAAAAAGUGUGCAUGACCUUUUUUAACUUGGAAGUUGUUCAAAGAGAUAUUUUAUGCCACCCAUCUGAA